GUUGGUUGGAAAUUACCCAUGGCUUUGCCCGUGUUCAUGGGUGAGUUUCAGCAGCCAGAGCCACGGCAACCUCAGAUCACCGCCCAGUCCAGUGCAGGGAGGAAGAAGCCAGGCCCUGACAGGU